rnacentral:rRNA from 1 species
AUUGAUGGCGACCGGCGCACGGGUGAGUAACGCGUAUGCAACUUACCUAUCGGAGGGGGAUAGCCCGGCGAAAGUCGGAUUAAUACUCCAUAAAACAGGGGUUCCGCAUGGGACUAUUUGUUAAAGAUUCAUCGCUGAUAGAUAGGCAUGCGUUCCAUUAGGCAGCUGGCGGGGUAACGGCCCACCAAACCGACGAUGGAUAGGGGUUCUGAGAGGAAGGUCCCCCACAUUGGUACUGAGACACGGACCAAACUCCUACGGGAGGCAGCAGCGAGGAAUAUUGGUCAAUGGCCGAGAGGCUGAACCAGCCAAGUCGCGUGAAGGAUGAAGGAUCUAUGGUUUGUAAACUUCUUUUAUAGGGGAAUAAAGUGUGGGACGUGUCCUAUUUUGUAUGUACCCUAUGAAUAAGCAUCGGCUAACUCCGUGCCAGCAGCCGCGGUAAUACGGAGGAUGCGAGCGUUAUCCGGAUUUAUUGGGUUUAAAGGGUGCGUAGGUGGUAAUUUAAGUCAGCGGUGAAAGUUUGUGGCUCAACCAUAAAAUUGCCGUUGAAACUGGGUUACUUGAGUGUGUUUGAGGUAGGCGGAAUGCGUGGUGUAGCCGGUGAAAUGCACUAGAUAUCACGCAGAACUCCAAUUGCGAAGGCAGCUUACUAA